rnacentral:lncRNA from 1 species
CCAGUGAACCAAGGCAGGUACAGGAUCUGGGUACUUCCUGCAGUGCUUCUCACCUCCACCACCCUUAACACCUGCAGACCAGGUGUUUCCUCCUCACCUGCUCUGAGGAAACAGCAGCUCCACCCUGAGCGAUUCAAUCAGAGAUGCUGAGAUGACCAGACUCACAUUAAAGCAGCAGCUCUGGAUUCUCACCUGAUGGUUUGCAGGGAGGUGUGAGGGCCCGCCCCUCUGCAGUCAAAGCAGAGCCUCAUCUGCUCCAUCACAACAGCAGCAGAACCUCAGAGCGGGUCAGCUGCCCCUGGAGGGACCAGAGGCUCAUGGGAAAUAUCUGUGCCACAAAUAGUUUCAGAAAUACAUGAAAGAGGAAACUAUGGAAAAACAUUAUGUGUAAAUGAGAAAUGGGACAUUUGACUUUCCAGAUCAAGUCAAAACUUGGAGCAUCAUUAUAAAUGUAAAAGUUAAAACCCCGACUUCCUAACCCAAACUUUAACGAUUAAUGAAAACAUUGUGAUUUAGGGUUGGAGGUUUCAUCACCUCAUGUAGUCCUGAUCAGACACACAGCCUUUAACGAUGUGCAAUACAGCAAAAUUAAUACGAC